UACGUAAGGAGCAAGCGUUGUCCGGAAUCAUUGGGCGUAAAGCGCGCGUAGGUGGCCAUGUAAGUCCGCUGUGAAAGUCAAAGGCUCAACCUUUGAAAGCCGGUGGAUACUGCAUGGCUAGAGUACGGAAGAGGCGAGUGGAAUUCCUGGUGUAGCGGUGGAAUGCGCAGAUAUCAGGAGGAACACCAAUAGCGAAGGCAGCUCGCUGGGACGUUACUGACACUGAGGCGCGAAAGCGUGGGGAGCGAACAGG
rnacentral:rRNA from 1 species